GAGGAAGGUGGGGAUGACGUCAAAUCAUCAUGCCCCUUAUGACCUGGGCUACACACGUGCUACAAUGGGAAGUACAACGAGUUGCGAAGUCGCGAGGCUAAGCUAAUCUCUUAAAGCUUCUCUCAGUUCGGAUUGCAGGCUGCAACUCGCCUGCAUGAAGCCGGAAUCGCUAGUAAUCGCGGAUCAGCACGCCGCGGUGAAUACGUUCCCGGGCCUUGUACACACCGCCCGUCACACCACGAGAGUUUGUAACACCCGAAGUCGGUGAGGUAACCUUUUUGGAGCCAGCCGCCUAAGGUGGGAUAGAUGAUUGGGGUGAAGUCGUAACAAGGUAGCCGUAUCGGAAGGUGCGGCUGGAUCACCUCCUUUCUAAGGAA
rnacentral:rRNA from 1 species